GGCGUGAGUGCUAGAGCCGGGAGUCGAACUCCCGACCCGUGCGUUCGCUCAGCGAACCACCCGAGCUAACGCUCGUUCUCCCACAUGCCAUCAGCUGUUCUCCCCCUCCCGUUGCUUGGACAGAGCGAGCUCACCGCGUGGCCGCUGAUGCCUGGGCGCCGCCCAUGCCACUAUGCCAGCCAACCCGUGGCCAUCACCGAGCCGGCCUUAUCCCACCCGGCUCUCCUCUCUGCUCCCUCACCCCCUCCCUCACCUUUCUCCACAGCCGAGCACAGGGAAGAUCGAGCACUGAGCAGCGCCGCCGCCGAUCCCAAAUCCACCGUAACCGCACACGGAUCCGUCCAGCUACCCCUCGUACCGGAUCGAGCCCGUGGUAAGCUUUACCGAGCUCCCCUCUGCCUUCCGCCGGGGCCAAACCUUCUUCGGCCCGGCACUGGCGCGGCUGGCUUCGCGCGCCGGGCGCCGCCACCUUCGGCCGACCGUCACCGACCAAGCUCUGAUCCGGGCCGAGAUUCGGCCGGAAUUGCCACCGGCGCUGUCACCGGCGAGCUCUCCGGCAAGCCCACGGCGCGUUUCACUGGGGUCAACCAUCCGGUCCAGUCAGAGCACUCCGGUCCCACGUCCAUGCUCUCGGGCUAGCAUAGUCUCGGUCGAAGAAGUUGGGCGCUGUACUGUGCAGUCGGCUGAAUAAACAAACGCAGAAUAGGAUAUAUUGAUGUAUGGUUAAAUCGUCUGAAAUGGUGUAAAAUGCAUAGAAAAUUCACUAUAGCUCCAAAAAUUGUAAAACCAAUUUUUUUAGCUCUAUAUGAUAUUAUUAUACUGUAUAAAAAUGUUGUGUCUCAUGUUAAUGGCAUUUUAAUUUCUGUAUCAA